GUCUAUGGCCAUGCCACCUUGAACAUGCCUAAUCCCAUCUAAUCUCGGAAGCUAAGUAGGGUCAGGCCUGGUUAGUACUGGGAUGGGAGACCACCUAGGAAGACUGAGUGCUGUAGGCG
rnacentral:rRNA from 1 species